CCUACGGGAGGCAGCAGUGGGGAAUAUUGCGCAAUGGGGGAAACCCUGACGCAGCAACGCCGCGUGAGUGAGGAAGUAUCUCGGUAUGUAAAGCUCUAUCAGCGGGGAAGAAGGAAGACGGUACCCGACUAAGAAGCCCCGGCUAACUACGUGCCAGCAGCCGCGGUAAUACGUAGGGGGCGAGCGUUAUCCGGAUUUACUGGGUGUAAAGGGAGCGUAGACGGCGUCGCAAGUCUGAAGUGAAAGCCCGUGGCUCAACCGCGGAACCGCUUUGGAAACUGUGAGGCUGGAGUGCUGGAGAGGUAAGCGGAAUUCCUGGUGUAGCGGUGAAAUGCGUAGAUAUCAGGAGGAACACCGGUGGCGAAGGCGACUAUCUGGCACAUAACUGACGCUGAGGAGCGAAAGCGUGGGUAGCAAACAGGAUUAGAUACCCUUGUAGUC
rnacentral:rRNA from 1 species